UACGAAGGGUGCAAACGUUGCUCGGAAUUACUGGGCGUAAAGCGUGCGCAGGCGGCUUUGCAAGACAGAUGUGAAAGCCCCGGGCUCAACCUGGGAAUGGCAAUGGAUACUGGCGAGGCUAGAGUGCGGUAGAGGGUAGUGGAAUUCCCGGUGUAGCGGUGAAAUGCGUAGAGAUCGGGAGGAACACCAGUGGCGAAGGCGGCUACCUGGGACCAGCCACUGACAC
rnacentral:rRNA from 1 species